rnacentral:tRNA from 1 species
CAGAAUAUAGCUUAAACAAAGCAUUUUGCUUACACCAAAAAAAUAUCUAUUAUAGAUUAUUCUG